GACCGCAGAGCUGAGCAGACGCAUGCAAGCACAGCUCCUGCUCUGCACAACCUUUCACUCGACUAAAAGGCACAACUUAGCCCAAAAAGGCGAUAAAAUGAGCUACCGGCGGGUAAAUGAAGCUAACCUGAACAGUUUGAUACCACACACGAAGCAAUUUACACCGGCUUACCGGGAUCUGCAUUUGAGGUCUAACAGGGUCAGCAACCUGAGUGCCGGGAGAGGCAGCCGAUCUCCCGACGGAGGGUCAGCAACGCAUUACAGCUCUGCUGUUCCCCUGCUACCCCCCCUAUGGACUGGUGGGGGAUAUCCCGGUCCCCGCUGGAGACGCACACUACAGUCCGACGGCAAGCUGCACAAGGCACCUAAGAUGGCCGCCACACUAUAUCCUGAACACACUACAGAGGACCCGGUGCUUCAACAAUGGAGACAGCGUUUUGAAGCCCGGUUCGAUCAAAUCUGCAGGGCCUUCUGGAGGCGACUACAGCGCAAAUCUUCAUCCCAAACCCCACAUGAAAAGCAAGAG